ensembl:snoRNA SNORA75 Small nucleolar RNA SNORA75
ACCUUCUCAUGAGCUCCUCUUAAUCAUACUAGUGAUUUUGUAUGGAUUCGCACGAGAAGCAGAGAAAUGCACAGUUAAACAAGCUUGCCCUGUUUGCAUGUGGGUGUUGGCUCAUGUCUGCUGUGCUACAUGU